GAAGAAUGACCACCUUAUCUCACAAUAAAAUUGUUUUUUUCUGAUUUCAAGAAAUAGUUAUGUCCCAAACUACCUCUAAUGAAUCGACAAGAUAAUCCAAUGGCUCAAUUAACACACGAGGAGAGUUAAAAUGACAGCAGCACUUUGAAACAUUAAACAACAUAGUGGGUUUCACUUUUCAGAUCACUUAUCCAGGCAGAAUGGAGUGUCAAUUUGAUCUCGAGGUACAAGAGACUUAAGUUGAUUUAAUUUGCAAGGUAGAUCCGCUGGGUCUCAAUGAAACGUUAGCUAUUCAGUCAUGAGUUCAUAUAAAGCUAAUUGAGAUUAACGACAACUAAGCAUAGACGAAAAAAACCAACAAUCAAACUAGCCGAGCAAACGAAUCAGCAAUUCAAACAUCCUCUACUAAGUAAAUACGUCACUUAGUCACAUUGAACUUGAAUAUCAAAGCAAAUAGAAAGGAAAGAAAAAUGGACCUAAAAAUUAGAGCUUCGAUUGACUGAGAUUUUCAGCAAUUACAGAAGCAAGGUGAGCCAACUGCUAAAGCUGAAAUUUGAAAUGGACGAAACUCAAACGAAACAACUUCGAACAACACCUCAGCUCAAUCAGCCUUCAUAUUUGAAACCCAAAUCAACUAAGAAGUAGAAACUUAAAAUAUUUUAGCAUUUUUUCUGUUAAAAUUUCAAACAUCAAUCAUCUUAAAGAGAGAAGCAUCAUUUCGUAUGUUUCUGCUUCUUCUGAAAUUUCCAAAGAGACGAAGGAAUCAAAAGGAAGUUCCAAAAAUCCUCAAAGUAUUCUUUUGUCCUCUCGUUCUCUGUCUGUUGUUCUUUGUUCCCCCUUUUAUCUGUUGUUUUCUUUUGUGUUUGCCGUCUUUUCGUCCUUUUUGAGUGUGAGAUUCGGAGAUGGGGCAACUACUCUCAGGAGUAGGGGAGAUGGGCGUGGCUGCUUAGGUUUUUAGGGAGGUGGAUUCGUUCUUUCUGUGUUUUAGAGAAAGAGAGGUGCAAUUCUCGUUUAUUUUUGGGGGGGGGGGGGUGAUGGAAACGCCGCUCAGGUCUUUGGUAGUGAGGGAUCUGAUUGUUGAAUUUGGAGAAAUGAAAAAGAAUAUGACAGGGAGCCCUAGGUGUUGUGCCAAUUCUCUCUUAGGGAAUCUCCGCGAUCUGAUCUAAAAUGUAGCCUAAAUUCUCUAUAUAGGUCUAAGUCUAGGUUUUAAUUGAAAAAGGAUGAGUUUUGGGCUGAUGGGUUCAAGUGUAUUUGAGCUUGGAUCUGGGUUAGCUUUGGGGAAGAAUUGAGCUAAUUUGGUACAAAGAAUUAACCCAAAUUCAUAUUAAAACCCCCUUUUUAAUUACCUCUUUUAUUCCUUUUUCCUUUGUUCUUCUUUCUAUUCUUCUUUAAUUAAAAAUUCUAAAUUAAUCUAAAUUGUAAAACUAACUAAUUAUCUAAUUAUAAUAAUUAUAAAAAUUACUUGAUCCUAAAUCAAAAGAGAAAAAUCGAUAAUCAAAAAAUUAAAAGGUAAAAAUGUAAAAUGAGCUAUUUUUGUGAUUUUCAUUUUGUUAAAGAAAAUAAUUAACUAAUUAAUCCUAAAAAUAUAAAAACAAACAUAAAUCCAAUGCAUGGUAUUUUUUGGCAUUUUCAUGAUUUUAAUAAGAAUUAAACAUGCACAAAAAUGCAAACAAUUAAUAAAAAUCCUACAAAAUCCUAUAAAAUGGUAAAUAAUUGGAAAAAAUCUAUUUUCUUUGAUUUUAUAGGAGCAAUUUAUAUAGGACAAAAAUCACGUGCUCGCAGCUGCCCAUCUUUGCUCGGAAACAUGAAGGGUUUUUCGGGCAAAGGUAAAAUGAGCAAUUAUGAGCGAUUUUUGCCCGUUUGAAACUCCAUGAGAAACAUCUUUUGAAAAAGGUCUGAUCGAACCUGCUUUGGAGGUUGCCUACAUAUCCUUGGCUAUAAAGGAAACAGGUCAGUGUAGUUCUGAAAGUUUUGGUAGCUGGGACUAUCGAGAAACUGUGAUUUCACCGCUGUUGCUGCUGUUUCUGUUUGCUAAGCUCCUUAUUACACCAAAAUCAAAAAAUGAAAAGCUAAACUAGCUAAGCCUAUCAACUACGAGUUACAAGAUUCAUAUCUAUAAAUAUUCUAAAGCUUGAUCUUGAGUCUUGGAUGGUCCUUUCUGCAUACUCUGAUAUGAAUCCUGCUUCUCAUCAGCUGCCAUCGCUGGUUCAUUCUUCUUCAGCUUUCGGAUCAAGGCAGGACAUGUGAAACUUUUGACUUCAAUCAAAUUUUGAGUAGUCUGCAUCUUUUCUCCGCUUCUACACCUCAAGUUCAACUUCUUUUCUUGUUUCUUCUUUUCUUUUAUUUGGGUUGAGACUCCUUUUUUGGUCAUCUCAAUCUUGUUCCUCACAGUGAAAACCUGUUCCGACACCAAAGCAAACAAACGAACGAAAUUUUUCUGCCCCAGUUUUCACUAGGAAAAAUUUCGUGAGUUAUUGUAACAAAAAUCUAAACUAUUUCUUUAUUUGAAGGCAAAUAAAAUAAGGAUUGUGUAUCCUUGGUAAAAAGAGAUUAGGGAGUGGAGCCCUAUAUCUAUACUAAAUCAACUAGGGAGUGAAGACCCUAAGUUGGAAAGGCGACUAUGGAGUGGAGACCCUAUGUCUAAAAUAAACUCAACUAGGGAGUGGAGACCCUAUGUUGGAAAAGCGACUAGGGAGUGGAGACCCUAUGUCUAAAAUAAAAUCAAAUAGGGAAUGGAGACCUUGUGUUGGAAAAGCAGACUAGGGAGUGAAGACCCUAUGCCUAAAAAUAAAAUCAACUAGGGAGUAGAGACCCUAUACUAGAAAAGAAGACUAGGGAGUGGAGACCCUAUACCUAAAAAUAAAAUCAACUAGGGAGUGGACACCCUAUGUUGGAAAAAUGACUAGGGAGUGAAGACCCUAUGUCUAAAAUAAAAUCAACUAGGGAGUGGAGACCCUAUGUUGGAAAAAACAUAAUUAGAGAUUGGGGACCCUAAGCUACCAUUUUUUGAAUUUUUUUCUUUUGUUUUUAUUUUUUUCUUCAUUUUUCUCCUUUUUCACUUUUUUUUUAUUUCAUAGAAUGAGUAAAUGUGGGAAAGAAUUUUGGAGGGGACUUCCUUUUAUGGAUUUGUUGCUACAAAGCUGUUUCUAGCCCUUGCGCAGUUUCUCUUUGGUUGCACCUGCUUCUUGCAAGGUUACUUUAGAUUGCACCUGUUUCAUGUUUUCAAACAAAGAACAAUUGUUAGUUUGAAACGGUGGUUGGUUUUGUGGCUUUGAUUAUUUCAAUCACUUCAUCUCGGUCUAGUUUCUUUGAUGAAGAUCUCAAUUACAACUGUUUGUUCCCUAAAGACCGAUUUCAUUUC
rnacentral:lncRNA from 1 species